rnacentral:lncRNA from 1 species
AACAAAGAACAAUACACAGAACAGAGAGAUGCUGCAUCAACAAAAUGAAAGAAAAUGACAGAGAAUGAAACAAAUAAAGGAACCCCCAAAACCUGACCAAACAGUGCAACAAAAUCCAGAUAUAAUUCACAGCAAAGAGGCUGAAAUGAUGAAAAUAUAUGCUAACAGUAAAGAAUCCAACCACUCAUCCGACAUCCAAUUACAAAAAACAUAACAAUAUAUUGACGACAAAAGAACGAGAUAUAUGCAAUUUGCUUCUAGUUCCGCCAAGGCUGCCAUCAUCAUUAUUUCAUGGUGCUCCUGCAGCUCCUCCUUCACACCCAUCAAUGGAGCAUGAAUCCUACAUUAUUAAGAAAAUGACGAAAUAAUUAAUAUGAAUCGUUGUACACAUAUAAUCUACAAAGAAGAUAUUUAUAUACAUAUAAUAUAAUUGCCAAUACUUACCUCAUCCAUAUCCAUUUCUUCAAAAUAAGUGCAGCAACCAACGUGUGCAUUAGAACAAGAAGCUAGUUGUGAAACAUGAAAUUGAAGACUUAAAUUAGUUCUAAAAACUGAAUGCAUACUAAUUAAUUAAGUUUGAAAUUAAGAUUAAAGAACAUGCACAGCAGCACAAAUAUAAGAUGAAAAUAAAUUAAUACUUUGGAGUACCUUGAAUUUCUUUCCACAACCAAUUUUGGGCGCACAUUAAGGCUUCCAAUGUCUUUGGAUGAAGUCUACUACGGUGUGGACUUACAAAUCUCCCACUAGUACUGAAAGCUAAUUCGGAAGCAACUGUAGAUACAUGAAUAGCUAAUAUAUCCCUUGCCAAAGCACUUAAGAUAGGAUAUUUAGUCCCAUUUGAUUUCCACUAGCCCAAAAUAUCAAAAUCAGAUGUUCUAGGCAAAACAGCCUCAUCGAAAUAGUGAUCUAAUUCUGACUUUUCAUUAUCAGUACUUACAGUACUAGAAACAAACAAGUCAAAGUUAUCCAUUAAAUGAUUCAUCUCUUUAAAGUCAGAUUGAUUCAAAUGAGAUGAAGUGAAUGAUGGCUAAUGACCCAUGUUAGAACUAUGAUUAGAUCCACACUCUUUUAUCAAAUCAUAACAAUAUUUGCGAAUCUUAUCAAUUUCAUUCGAAGCAUAUUGCCCAUACAUAAGCGGAAAGAAAUACUCAAUCAGCCUCAUCUUGAAUCUUGGAUCCAACACAGUAGCUACAACCAUUAUUCCAUGAAUCACACUCCAAUAUUUAUCAAAUUUCUCAAUCAUACUUCUUGCCAUAUUUUUUAUUUCAUCACGUCUAGAGGUAAGCCACCGAGUUAGCGACAACCUGGUCUCACAAAUCUUUGGAAAAUAAAGAUUGGCUGUAGGGUACUUAGUUCCAGAAAACAACUCGGAUACAUUAUAAAACAACUUUAACUUCUCACAAAUCUCUCUUGCCAUCUCCCAAUCUCUAUCAUCAGGCAAACACUUAUAUUGCGACUCUCGUUGUUUCAAAUAAGGGAAAACAUCCUUGUAAAUCAAAGCAGAUUGAAUCAUUAAAAAGGUGGAAUUCCACCGAGUUUUACAAUCAAGCACCAUUUUCUUAGUGCCUGGAAGCUUCAACUGACGUGCUGCUUCCUCAAAUUUUUCCUCUCUUUUUUGUGUUGUUGUCCAAUAAACAACACUCUCACGAAUUUUCUCAAUACCACCACCAAUCACUUCAAGACCAUCCUUCACAAUUAAGUUUAAUAUAUGUGCACAACAACGCAUGUGAAAGAACCCUCCACCCAACAAAAGUGAACUACCAGAAAGUUUUUCAAGAAUAAGAUCAAUCAUUUUAUCAUUUGUAGUGCAAUUAUCUACUGUUAAGGUAGAAAGCUUACGAUCGAGGUUCCAAUCUAGCAAGCACUCCAUCAAAACAUCUGAAAGUGUCUCGGCGGUAUGCGGACAUGGCACAUAAAUAAAUCUGAAAAAAAUUACAAUGAAGAUGGUUACAAUAAACAAUUUGAAAUAUAAAUCUAAAGCUAGACAACAAUUAAAUAGAAGUUAAAGUAUUAAAAAUAUCACCUUAUUAUUCGGCUCUGCAACGUCCAAGAGUCAUCAAUAAAAUGAGAUGUUAUUACCAUAAAUCAUCUGUUCUGAUUACUUGCAGUCCACAUAUCAGUAGUUAUGGCAAUUAUACUCUUAUUUUCAUCCAACAAUUGCAUUGUUUUCAAACGCUCAUAAUCAUAUAUUUUGAGGAUAUCACUCUUGAUUGUGUUUCUUGAAACAACCUUAAACAACGGUUGGACAACACUCAUGAAGUUUCUAAAUCCAACAUGCUCAAGCAUGGAAAGAGGAUACUCAUGCAAUAUUAUCAUUUGGGCGAGAGCUCUCCUUGCACUUUCUUGGUCAAAUGUAUACAACUCUACUUUCCCAUCUCCUACUUUUUGGGUUAGUGUUUGCUUCAAUUUUUUUUGUCUCCAACGUGGACAUAUCGUCACAUGAUGCCUCAAAUGGCUGGUUCCAUUUCCAGUGUUCCCACCAAGCUUCUUGCUACAAUAAUUACAUAUUGCUUUCAUCACCCCAUCAACUAGUGUUCUUGUGUAAUGUUGCCACACCAAACUGCGAAGUCUCGAAUUAUUACCUUCACCAUCAUCACCCCCAGCUUCAUUAAUCUCACCAGCGACCUCAUUUGGAUUUGGUAUAUCUUGGGGCUGAGCAAUUUGACUUGGUAUUUCUUGUUGCACAACACUUGGAUGCAAUGUAGGUGCUAGAUUACAAUCAGUUGGGGUACAUAUUGUUUCUUCUUGAGACUUAAAUUUUCUUUUAGACAUUUUGAUUGUUGCAAACACAACCAAAUCCAUUAAUAUGUAAACAAAGACAUGGUAUAAUACUGAAAUUGAGUCAAUUAACAUGUAAACUAAAUAUAUAACAAUAAACAAGAAGACAAUUAUUGAUUUAACAAGCAAAACCCAAUACCCAUUUAAUCAUACACCAACGAAAAAUCUAAACACAAGAGUCACAAAUUAACGAACUAAAAACCCACAAAAAGAACCAAAAAAAAAAAAAGAGAAGAAACUGACCUUAAAACAAAGAACAAUACACAAAAUGGAGAGAUCAGAGAUGCAUCCCCAACAGUAGAGAAUCGAAUUAAAAAUUGAACAUAGCUCAAAACACUUACCCUUCAAUGUUUGGAGCCUUAGAAAACUUUAUGAUGUUCAUGCAAAUAUUUUUAGGUCUCAAUGCAUCCACCUAUCCUGCAAACCAAAAAUGGAAAUGCAUUAACACAAAUGCCAAAACCGAUUUCUAAGAUUUUAGUAUUCUCUUUACCCUUGCAACCAAAAAACAAAAAUUGCAGAAAAAUGAGCAAGAAGCUAAAGCAGAAAAAAUCAUAUUUUCAACCACCAAAACCCAAUACCCAUUUAACCUGAGAUUUCAGUGUUUUCUUUACCCUUGCAACUCAAAACAAAAAAUCCCAGGAAAAUGAGCAAGAAGCAUAAGCAAGAAAAAAACAUAUUUUCAACCACCAAAACCCAAUACCCAUUUAAUCAUACAUAAACGAAAAUCUAAAUACAGAGUCAUAGAUCAACGAACUGAAAACCAACCAAAAAAAAAAAAACUGACCUUAAAACAAAGAACAAUACACAGAACAGAGAGAUGCUGCAUCAACAAAAUGAAAGAAAAUGACAGAGAAUGAAACAAAUAAAGGAACCCCCAAAACCUGACCAAACAGUGCAACAAAAUCCGGAUAUAAUUCACAGCAAAAAUGCUGAAAUGAUGAAAAUAUAUGCUAACAGUAAAGAAUCCAAUAAAAAAAGGAACUUAGCUUUCGAAAUCCAGCCACUCAUCCGACACGCAAAAGGGAAUGGAUGAUCCAGAGUGAUUCAUGGACUGACACUGAGGGAGUCCCAGAGUCGAGGGACCUUACUCGUCUCUGUUCACCAUCCCAACCCCUCCCUCUCUGUUUCUCUCCCUAUUAUCCGGACAACCACUCUCUCUUCUCUUUCUCUCACUGUCACUUUCUUUUUCUCUCACCCGUGCCAGGAUCGGCGGCAUGCAUGGCCUUACCUGCGCGGCUGCGCCCAAGAAAGAAGAUUCAAGUCCUAAUCUGAAAGACUGAAACCCUAUGAUAAAAAGAUGAUUCUAGUUCUACCCCUCUAACUCAUCAUCCUCACCGUAGGAUCUGAAGAUGAGAUGGACAAUCAUGUCAUU